AACGAACGCUGGCGGCAGGCUUAACACAUGCAAGUCGAGCGCCCCGCAAGGGGAGCGGCAGACGGGUGAGUAACGCGUGGGAAUCUACCCAACCCUACGGAAUAACGCAUGGAAACGUGUGCUAAUACCGUAUACGCCCUACGGGGGAAAGGUUUAUCGGGGAUGGAUGAGCCCGCGUUGGAUUAGCUAGUUGGUGGGGUAAAGGCCUACCAAGGCGACGAUCCAUAGCUGGUCUGAGAGGAUGAUCAGCCACAUUGGGACUGAGACACGGCCCAAACUCCUACGGGAGGCAGCAGUGGGGAAUAUUGGACAAUGGGCGCAAGCCUGAUCCAGCCAUGCCGCGUGAGUGAUGAAGGCCCUAGGGUUGUAAAGCUCUUUCACCGAUGAAGAUAAUGACGGUAGUCGGAGAAGAAGCCCCGGCUAACUUCGUGCCAGCCGCCGCAGUAAGAC
rnacentral:rRNA from 1 species